GCUCGCGUGGGCAGGCCCCUCCCAGGACAUGCAGCUCACCUGGGUGGUCACCCAGCAGCCCCUGGGGCUCGCGUGGGCAGGCCCCUCCCAGGACAUGCAGCUCACCUGGGUGGUCACCCAGCAGCCCCUGGGGCUCGCGUGGGCAGGCCCCUCCCAGGACAUGCAGCUCACCUGGGUGGUCACCCAGCAGCCCCUGGGGCUCGCGUGGGCAGGCCCCUCCCAGGACAUGCAGCUCACCUGGGUGGUCACCCAGCAGCCCCUGGGGCUCGCGUGGGCAGGCCCCUCCCAGGACAUGCAGCUCACCUGGGUGGUCACCCAGCAGCCCCUGGGGCUCGCGUGGGCAGGCCCCUCCCAGGACAUGCAGCUCACCUGGGUGGUCACCCAGCAGCCCCUGGGGCUCGCGUGGGCAGGCCCCUCCCAGGACAUGCAGCUCACCUGGGUGGUCACCCAGCAGCCCCUGGGGCUCGCGUGGGCAGGCCCUUCCCAGGACAUGCAGCUCACCUGGGUGGUCACCCAGCAGCCCCUGGGGCUCACGUGGGCAGGCCCCUCCCAGGCACCACGUCCUUCUGGGCAGGCCCCCUGACAGGCUCAGCACACAGGAACUGUGCCCAGGGUCCUCACUGCAGACCACCCCGAGCUCCCCGUGUUGGUCAGAGCUGUUCCUGAGCACCUCGGAGCAGGAUCUGGACUAACAAACAGCAGCUCCUGGACAGGAAUUGCCAGGCCACGACCUGCUAAGGAAGAGCACCCUAAUCUGCCCUGGGAAGUCCUCCCCAGGCAGAGGUGAGGAAGCAAGAAAAAAGGCAGAGAGGGCUCAGACAGAAGGAGUUACUCAGGACUCUGACAUUGGGUUUAGGGCCACUCUAGCCCACAAUGACCUCGUCUCAGGAUCCUCAUCCACACCCGCAAAGGCCCUUUCCCAGGUGAAGCUCAUGUCCCCAGUGGUGGUGAAGCCAGAUCUGCGGUUCAGACGGGUGUGGCUGCGUGUACGGGACAAAACGAACGCGUGUGCCUUAGAUCAAGCGCACGGGGCUGCCUGAACUCUCCUCUCGCGCGCCCUCCCCGGGGACCCUCCUCAGCACGGGGCUGCCUGAACUCUCCUCUCGCGCGCCCUCCCCGGGGACCCUCCUCAGCUGCGGAGGCUCACGCACAGGGGAUGGAGCGUGCCCAGCCUGAGGGCUGAUUUACCCUGCGUCCGAGUCUGCUCAGUGCUGCCACAUCAAAUGCCUGAGUCCAGGCGCUUACACAACAGACCUGUCUCCUCGCUUGGAUGCUGUCUGAGAUCAAGGUGUCUGCAGGCUGGUUCCUCCCGGGGCUUCUCUCUGCGUGUGGACCUCCGUCUUCUCCCCAUGUGCUCACGUGGUCGCCCCUGUGCCUGUGUCCUGGUCUCUUCUUGUAGGACCUCUGUCCUGAUGGACCAGGAUCCACCCUCAUAGCGUCAUUUUACCUUGACGGCUCUUGAAAACCCCAUCUCCAAAGACAGUCACAUCCUGGGUUCCUGGGGGUUAGGGAGCCAGCACGUGAGUUUUGUGGGGAAACAGCUGAACCCACACCAUCCUGCUUAGGAACUGGCUGGGCUUCGUCCCACCUUCCCUCAAGUUCCAUGGCAGUGGGGGUGGGUGUGAGACAGCCCAGGGAGAGGUCACUCGUCCAGGUCUAGUUGGGGACAGUGCAGGGCCUUAGUUAGGGAGAGGGCAGGGACUGAGUUAGGCAUAGUUCAGGGCAUUUGUUAGGGAUAGAGCUGGGCCUUGGAUAGGGACAGCUUAGUCUAGUUAGGGAGCUCUCAAAGCCUUACUUAGGGAGAGCUUAAGGGCAUUAGUUAGGGAGAGUAUUGGGCCUUAUUAGUGACAGCGCUGAGCCUUAGUUAGGGACAGCGUAAGUGUAGUUGGGAGCAGCACAAGGCUUUACUUAGGAACAGGGCAGGCCCUCCUUUGGGAGAGUGCAGCACCACAGUUGGCCAAAGCACAGGGCCUGAGUAAGGGACCUUGCCCAGCCUUAGUUCGGGACAGCUCAGGGCUUUAGGGACACUGCAGUGCUGUAGGUAGGGACAGCGCAGGGCCUUAGUUAGGGACACUGAAGUCCAGUUAGGGACACACGGAGGCUGAGGUCAUGAAUGAAGGGUGGGAGUGCAGCGGUAUUUUGGUGGGCAGGCUGUGCUCAUCUCUGUGCCUUUUCUCUUGAGAUUUCUCUCCAACGUACUCCUUGCCUUUGCACCUGAGCCUCUUCCUGUCCCCGACUGGCGUCAUGGGGAUCUGACCUAAAGGCGUGUCUCGUGACUUAAGGCAGGGUGACCUAAAGCUGGCUCUCCUGACUCAGUGGGGCAGCAGGGCAGCUGAGUGUUUUAAGGUCGUGGGAUGUGGCAGGUUGGGGUGGAUAUCCUGGGAGGCUUUGAGAAAUACCCCAUCUGUAGGGCUCUUCACUGUGCUUAGAGGGAGAGGAGGACCAAAAUCGAGCUGGCAGGUGCCCAGGAUUAGUGCCCCCAGGGCUGCUGAGAGAGACAGAGGGACUGAGAGUUGCUGUUAGAGCACAUGGCCGCCAGAGCCCCCGCAGCUCCCCCCGCAGGUCCCUGGCCGCAUGUCCACGCUCAGAGGUAGGAGGAGAUGGGUCGGUGGAGCCCCAAGGGAGGUGCCCAGAGCUUGGGGCUUGGGUACAGGACACCUCUGACCACCUGCCCCCAUUUUCCUCACCUCGGAGAGGAGACAUACUUCUGCCUUCCUAUCUGUGAUCAGUUCUUGUCUGGUGGGGUGGCCCAACGGCUAGAGAGCAUGACAAGCUGUCUGUCGUCUUCGUGCCCUUUGAUGGUUUGGAGGCACAGCUCCGGCCCCGGAAAUACCUGGCGCACAUCUUGCAUGUGCAGUUUUCUAGAAUCAGCUUGCAAGGGCUUUGGGCUGGUGGUCGUGAAUGGAGGGUGUCAAAGGGGUGCUAUGUUGGGGGAUGGGCUACGCUCCCCCCUGUGAGCUUUGUUUUGAAAUUGAUCCCCAGCUUCCUUUCUCCCUUCCCUCUUCCCACCUCCUGUUAGGGAAAAAUACCUAAAACCCGGUGACGUGAACAAAGGGUGUGAGGUUACUGAUUUAAAGCUGGGCCCCAGGGCUGAAGGGUCCAGAUGGAUUUAACGGCCGCUCCUGUGAACUAAAAAGCAGGGCGGCUGAGGGAUGGCAGGCUGGGGGGUGGUGUCAGGUGGGGUGAGGGCCCUGGCGGACCGAGAAAGCCGGGCCCCCUCUGCAGGGCCUUUCAUGGUGCUCAUGUUAGGGCACUGUUGACUGAACCGCUGAAACCGCCCCCCUGGGCCAGGCAGGACCCCAGCCCUUGCAGGAGUUGUGUCACAGCAGGUGGCCCUGAGGAGAAACACGGUGCUGCCCUGGAGACAAACUGGGAGGGUUGGGAGGGCGCGGGAGGGGGGCAGACAACCAGCCUCCAGGAUCCGUAGACUCCGUCUCGGCUGAGAAGCACGUGUGCCACCAGGAAGGCCCCCAGUCCAGUAACACCUGAGGCUUCGAGCCACAUGGCCGAACCGUUCUCCUGGGCUCCCUCCCCUGCUGCCCUCCGCCUGGGCGUCCUUCCCAAGGAAGCCUCUCCCUCUGCCAGCCGUGUGUCUCCUCAGACAAUUCAUUUCCCAGUGUCAGACAGGAGCCCACACUGGGCCCUGGAGGGGUCCCCUUCUGCCGCAGCUGGUGACUCUGGCAAGGCACCUUCCUCACCGGGACUGAUAUUCCGAACAUCAGGCCCCAGCUCUGCUCCCUCAUCCCCCGCUUCUCUCAGUCUGGCCACUCUCCCUCCCUCUGAAGACUCCGCAUACUUCCAUUUACUGGGGCGUCCUGGGAACAAGCCUUCCUGUGUCCCCUGCUUCGGGUUUUUAGGGAACCAGCUUCAGCCUCCGUGACCUCCCCUGAGCUCCCAAAGGGCAGGUUCAAACUGCUGCUCAUCAGGGAAGGGAGGGGAGGCAGAGACAGGAGACCAGUCAAGAGGCAGCAGGGCAGCCCCGGGACCGAGUCCUGGAUCCCCUUCAAGGAACACGCAUAACAGCCUGAGUCCCUCUGCAGAACGAAGCCCCCAACACGUGACAACCAGAGUGGAGGACCACCGGAACCAGUCCUGGGGCCACGAAACACUGACUCUGAGGGAGAGUGAAAGCUUGCAUCCACCCCCGCCCUUGUCUGGCCCCUAUUUUCUCUCCCCAAACUCUAAAAGCACCUCCUGUUCUCUCCCGAAGGCAGGCACAGUCCUUAGGGCAUGAGCCGGCUGUGGUCUCCUCUGCCUGGCAAAGCAAUAAGGCUGUUUUUUUCUCCUUCACCCCGAACUCUGUCUCCAUGUUUCUGUUCGACACCAGUGGACAGACGCCAGGUUUCAGCCACUGUACUGGGAUCUGCAGUUCUGGUCUCUGAGGGUUUUCUGAGAGACGGCAAUCUUGUAUUUCGGGGGUCUCUGACUAGGACGCCCCCCCCCCCGCGUUUUGUGCAUGAGAUGUUGUGGCUUGUGAUGGCCAUUCUGCCUUGUGACAUGGGACGUUCUGGUUCUGUUCCACUGCGGUGCCCUCUGGGGUGAAUUCUGUCUGAUUGGGAAGAUUUUCAUUAUGAGCCUAAGACUAAGAAAAAGACGCUUUAACGCUGUGUGGCUGCAAUAUUCUUUAGAUUCCAGAGAAAAAUUGGUCCAGGUGAAACUCUUGAAAAUUCCAGAACUGGUUCUUUUGGCAUAGAGUUAGAAAAAGCGAGUUCGAUAAAGCAUCUUUUCAGAAUUCUGACCCUGCAAGAACAAAUCCUUCUGGGAGAACUUGUUUCUGUCCACACGCCUUGAGACCUGGGCUCUCAGGAUCACGUGUCUAGGCCAUCGCUAAUGGACCUGCAUGGGUUGUGCAGUGGUUUUAGCAUCUGGUUGGCCUCAUACUGGCUUCUGGAGAGCAGGGCAUAUGGCCGUGAAUGCAGUGCAUUGAUGCAGUGGUGUUGGGGGUGGGGGACUAAGCUGACCCCUGGGCUUUUCCCCUCCAGAGAUCUACAGUUGCUCUUCCAUCCCAGCCAAGACUCUUCCUCCGCUUUCAGACACCUGCUGCAAGGAAGCUUCCUAAAACCAGGGAACGUGAAUAAAGGCUGGGUGGUCCUUGAUUACAAGCUGGGUCCCACGGCUGAAUGAUGCUGAUUGAGUCAGAGCCUGCUCACGUGACUUACGAAGUCGGGUCCUUGAUUUGAGGGGGAGGUGUGGGGGGAGGGUCCUGGCCGACUGUGAGAGUCAUGCCCCCCCCCCCGCAGUGUAUCUCAGUGCGCCCGAGAGGGGGAGGAGCAAGGACAUCAGGCUGGCAAGUGGCCCAAGCCAGCACAGAUCAGGCUUCUGCUGUGGGAGGCAGAGGCAGGGCUGAGUUGCUGUUGGAGCACAUGUCCGCCAGAGGGCGCCAGCGCACAGCGGAGGCCCCUGCAGCCCCCUGUUUGCAUGUCCAGGCUUCCAAGUGGAUUGGAGAUGGACCCAUGGAACCUCGAGGUGGUGCCUGGAGCCUGGUUUGUGUUCAUAAUGCCUUGGACCCUGCGGCCCAAUUUGCCGCAACUCAGUGAGGGGACAGAAUUCUUCCAUCACGUGUCUAAUUCAAUUCCUGUCUGGUCAGGUGGCCCCAAAAUGACGGAGAUUGACAGGCUGUGGUCGGAGUGUCCUUCGCUAGUUUACAGGCAGACCUCCAGUCCCCAGAAACACCUGGCUUGAGUGUGGGAUGUGCAGUUUUCUAGAAUCAGCCUGGCAGGGAGUUUGGCUUCCGGAAAGCUGGGCUUCAUGUCAUGAAUGCAGUGUGCCUGUGCUGUCGUCUCUUGGGGGGGGGAUGGACUGUGCUCAUGGCU